rnacentral:rRNA from 1 species
GAUUAAGUUAUUAAGGGCGCACGGUGGAUGCCUUGGCACUAGAAGCCGAUGAAGGACGUUACUAACGACGAUAUGCUUUGGGGAGCUGUAAGUAAGCUUUGAUCCAGAGAUUUCCGAAUGGGGAAACCCAGCAUGAGUUAUGUCAUGUUAUCGAUAUGUGAAUACAUAGCAUAUCAGAAGGCACACCCGGAGAACUGAAACAUCUUAGUACCCGGAGGAAGAGAAAGAAAAUUCGAUUCCCUUAGUAGCGGCGAGCGAAACGGGAAGAGCCCAAACCAACAAGCUUGCUUGUUGGGGUUGUAGGACACUCUAUACGGAGUUACAAAGGACGACAUUAGACGAAUCAUCUGGAAAGAUGAAUCAAAGAAGGUAAUAAUCCUGUAGUCGAAAAUGUUGUCUCUCUUGAGUGGAUCCUGAGUACGACGGAG